ACAGAAGACCCAGGACUUUCUAAAGACCAGCAAAUUUACAGCAAAGAUCGCGGCAAAGAUAUGUCUUCGAGCUCGUUCUGUGCUCCUUGUGCAAGGAUUGACAAUAGUUCAGCAUCUAUAAACUAUUGCAUGGAUUGUGAAGAAACACUUUGUCAAGACUGUGUUAGGGCACACAAAACCAUUAAAAUAUUGAUGGCUCAUCACCUAAUAGACUUGGAGGCAGUAGUAGUAAUGCCUAUAAAAGUAAUGUCUUCUCAAAAGCAAUGUGAAACACAUUCAGACUUCAUUUUGGACUACUAUUGUACAUACCAUGACUCUCUGCUGUCAUAGCUGCAUACCUAUAGAGCAUCGUAGUUGUGAUAAAGUUUUGACUCUCAAAGAAGCUUCCAGAGAUACAAAAAUAUCCGCCCUUUUUUCCGAUAUAACAGAUGGGUUAAAUCAAAUGUUCUUAACAACAGAAGAUGUAAUAAAGAAUAGAGGAAAUAUUAUUCAAAAGGUUGAAGAUGAAGGAUCUUCCAUUGUAAAAUCAAUUUCAAAUGCUAAGGUUUCUAUUAUAAAAGAACUUGAAGAAAUGGAAAAGUCAGCAUUAUCGAAACUCUCUGACCUGCAAGGUACAUUGGUAGUAAAUCUGAAGAGCGAGUGUUCUAAAGCUGAACAAAUAAAUAAAUUGGUUCAUGAGUAUCACAAGCAGUUAGAGUUUCUGUCCACGAAUGGUUCAAAUAAGCAAAUUUUUGUUCUUUUGCAAGAACUGAAAGUGGUUCUCUCAGAUGAAAACCGUAAUAUGAAGGUCUUCAUUGAAAAUUUACAGGAACCUAGUUAGGAGUAAGGAGGUACAGCUUGAAGCUCCUUGUAAGCCAUGGGGACUUGCAUAUAACAGCACAACACAGAAGUUAGUUGUCAACCUAAGCAAUAACAAAGUACAAAUCAUUGAAAAUUUUAAAGCAGCCCCUGCAUUAAAAGUAGCACUUGGAGCAAGGUACGACGUUUCAUGGCCCAAUGAUAAGAUGUAUGUUGGUGGACAUGGUAAAAUAUAUAUUCUUGAUAGCAAUUUGCAAGAAAUACAAUCAUACAAUGUAGGGGAAGAAGAUAUAUUUUAUAUACAUUAUAGAGAUGAAAAGCUUUAUCUAUCUGAAUUUAACAAAAAUAAUGUAUAUUGCAUCAAAGAGGAUGGUACUGUUAUUUUCACCUUCACCUCAAAGAACUUAAAGGGACCAAAUGGGAUUACAAGUGAUGGGGUUGGAAAUAUCUAUGUAGUAGGACGAUAUUCGAACAACAUUCAUAGAUUAUCUUCAGAUGGUACAUCCAGUGAAGUGGUUCUGAAGGAAGAAGAUGGACUGAAUGAACCUAUUACAAUAUGUUUUAGCAAAAAUUACAAGAAGUUGUUGGUGUCAAAACAUAAGGGAUUGUCUAUAUCAGUAUUUGAUUGUGUGUAUUAAUAACUGAAAGCUUACAUUGACAAUGUUCAUCACUGAAUUUUAAUUAAACAGUUUUAACAACAUCAA